UACAGAGGGGGCAAGCGUUGUUCGGAAUUACUGGGCGUAAAGGGCGCGUAGGCGGCCUUCUAAGUCGAACGUGAAAUCCCCGGGCUCAACCCGGGAACUGCGUCCGAUACUGGAAGGCUUGAAUCCGGGAGAGGGAUGCGGAAUUCCAGGUGUAGCGGUGAAAUGCGUAGAUAUCUGGAGGGACACCGGUGGCGAAGGCGGGUCUCUGGGCCGAAACUGACGCUGAGGAGCGAAAGCGUGGGGAGCGAACAGG
rnacentral:rRNA from 1 species